UCCUACGGGAGGCAGCAGUGGGGAAUAUUGCACAAUGGGGGAAACCCUGAUGCAGGGACGCCGCCUGAGAGAAGAAGUAUUUUCGGUAUGUAAAGCUCUAUGCAGCAAGGAAGAUAAUGACGUACUU
rnacentral:rRNA from 1 species